rnacentral:lncRNA from 1 species
CAGCCUGUGGAGAGGGGAGGAAGCUCUGUGGGCCUGGGACUGCCUGGGACUCCCACUAACACUGUAUCUGGGAGAGCAAUGCCCCCCCCACACACAGAUGCAUACAGACACAUAUGCACACCUGGCCCACACACACAGACACAUGUGCACACCUGACCCACACACACAGACAAAUGUGCACACCUGCCCACACACAGUGCACACCUGCUCACACAGACACAUGUGCACACCUGCUUACACACAUACACAUGUGCACACCUGCCCACACAAAUAUGUGCACACCUGCCCACAUGCAUACAUACACAUGUGCACACCUGCCCACACACAUACACAUGUGCACACCUGCACACACAUACACAUGUGCACACCUGCCCCCACACACAUGCACACCUGCUCACAGACAUAUGCACACCUGCUUACACACAUACACAUGUGCACACCUGCCUAAACGUGCACACCUACUCACAUGCACACAGACGUGCACACCUGCUCACACUCAAACACACGUCCACACCUGCCUUCACAUACACACAUAUGUGCACACCUGCUCACACAGACACAGGCACACCUGCCCACACACAUGCACAACUGCUCACACUCAGACACACGUGAACACCUGCCUUCACAUACAUACACAUGUGUACACCUGCUCACAGAUAUGCACACCUGCUUACACACAUACACAUGUGCACACCUGCCUAAACAUGUGCACACCUACUCACAUGCACACAGACGUGCACACCUGCUCACACUGACACACGUCCACACCUGCCUUCACAUACAUACAUAUGUGCACACCUGCCCACACAUACAUACACAUGUGCACACCUGCCCACACACAUGUACACCUGCUUACACUCAGACACACGUGCACACCUGCCUUCACAUACACAUGUGCACACCUGCCCACACAUGCACACCUGCUCACACUCAGACACACGUGCACACCUGCCUUCACAUACGUACACAUGUGUACACCUGCCCCCACACACGUGCACACCUGCUCACACAAACACACAUGCGCAUCUGCUUACACACAUACACAUGUGCACGCCUGCCCCCACACUCAUGCACAUCUGCUCACAUGCACACAGACAUGUGCACACCUGCUCACACACAGACACAUGUGCACACCUGCCCACACAUACAUACACAUGUGCACAACUGCUCACACACACGCACAACUGCUCACACACAGACACAUGCACACCUGCUCUCACACACAUAUGCACACCUGCUCUCACACACGUGCACAUCUGUUCACAUGCACACAUACACAUGUGCACACUUGCUCACACUCAGACACAAGUGCAACCUGCCCACAUGCAUACACAUGUGCACACCUGUUGCCAUGCACACAUACUCAUGUGCACAUUUG